rfam:Oryza rufipogon genomic scaffold, chr03
AAAAAAUACAACCAUAAGUUUUCGUAUCCAAUUUUAAUCAUCCGUCUUAUUUAAAAUCUUUUUAUAAUUGAUAUUUUUAUUAGAUUAUAAAACAUGAAUAGUAUUUUAUGCGUGACUCAUAUUUUUAGUUUUUUUUUAAAAAAAUUUAAAUAAGAUGGACGAUUAAAAUUGGACACGAAAACUUAUGGCUGCGCUUAUU